AUCAGAUUUGAAAUGAAGGAACAGUGAUUGAAAAAACAUGAACAAGUCUGAGUAAGAUAUUUUUUGUGAAGAAUCUCUUUGAGCACAUAGCCCUCUCCUGCUCCAACUGUCCUAUAACUGAGGUCUAUCUCAGGCUGAGUUCAAAAAAGGAUGCUGCACUCUAGGGUCAUCAGCUUUCAUCAGCUCUGCUCCAGAAGUGUGAGGAAUAUCUCUUGAGCUCAGUAUCUGGUGAUCCAACAGACCUUUAAGGAUGAAAGGCAUUGAACACAAGUUGCUGUUAUUAAGACUUCUGAAAUGUGAAGAUACUAUUAAAGGAUGUGGUCAAAUUUCCCUAGGCAAGAAGAAAUUCUCCCUUCUCUUUGGCUCCCUGCAAUUGGAUGUUUAUAAGGUGCUUGUAGCUGGCUGAUUCUCUCCUCAGUGUUAAAUCCCACUUUAAUGGUAAUGUUCCUUUUUGUUGGGUGAUUUUUAUUUAAUUUCUCAGAAAUUACUUUUACUGGGCCGUUCCCAGUGCUGCUGGAUGCCAGAUACUCUGUCUUAAUCAUUUUCUAUUGAUGGGUCUUCUCUUGUACUUGAGGGUCAGAGAUGGACACUUCUUCAUGACUGAUGUUUUGCCAUACAGGAAUAUCAGUAUAUGAGGGUUGAAAUGAACCAGGAUGAAGGGUAGAGGACUGGAUUGGCUCCAGGGUAGAAAGGUCAUCCAAGGUUUUAUAAGCUUGUACCUGUAGUGCAUUUCUCAGCUGUGACUCACGAGCAACCAGCCAGCCUGUUCACUCCCAGGACACCAUUCUACAUUUGGAAACCUCCUUAGCUGUAAAUAUGUCUGAGGUUUACUGUGGAUCUGUCAGUCACUGACCAGUCAGGACAGAUGUUCACAAUUAUUUUCUCAGCAAAUAUAGUCAAAAAACUGCAAUAAAAAAUAUGAAUAUUUUCUGUGACCAGCUAAUCAUUUAGGAAUAACAGAAUCAGCAGUGUUAGUCUUGGAAACUUCUAGUUAAAACUUAGUCAUUUGAAUAUUCAUAAAAACCUGUAGUAUUUAAAGAAAAUUAUUUUUUGAUGGUUUGUGAGCAAGCAAGAAAAUAUUUGUCACUUCACUUACGCAAUAGACUUAUAGCUACUGUCACACCUCUGGAUUUUUAUUAGCAUAUAUCAAAGAACUCUUAGAGCUGCAAGGUAUGCAAAAUAUUUUAUCACAGUACAGUAAAAAUAUUGCAAAAACCUCCAAAAAAUCUGUCCCUAGUUGAGUGUGAGAGGCUGAUGUCACCAUCCUGUAAAUCUUAAAGCUGAAAACAACUAAUGUGUCUCUUCUUUUCACACAUAAACACCUUCCUAAUAGAAUAAGGUUUCACCAGAAUAUGCAGAGUUUGAAAUUUCAGGAGGGUAUUAAGUUAGUUCUUUGGUACCCUGACUAAUGGUGGAAAGAAUAUCAUAGACACUUCUUUUAAAUACUCUCCUCUGUUUUGCUUGAAAUCCAACAUAUUAUUUAGUAUAUUAUUAGUGUUAUUAUUGAUAUUAUUUGUUUCUAUUUGAUUUAUCUCACAAGUUAUAUUGAAAAUCAAUUUAUUUUCAAGAUCCAGUCAUACAGUGAGUUUCUUAAACAUGAAUGCAUGAUUCAUAAAUUAAGUUCAUACUCUUAAACUUUAACUGUUAUAAUCCUGUUUGGGGCAGAGGUUGGUUAGUUUAUUUUGGAUGUUUUUCAUUACUGUCAGUGAUGAGGGCACAUAUGCAAUGGACUGUGCAAACGUGGUUCUGAGUUUUAUUCCUGAGGCUGUUUGGAGAAAUGGAGACAGAGAUCAAUUCAGUUGUCCACCAUCAUAUGUAUAAUUAUUGCUGAGAGUGGGAAACAGAACCAGAGAUCCUGAAAGGAAAGCAUGUUACCUACUCAUGGAGGAGGGCCAUAUAAGCUUGUUCUCCCUGCUUUGGAAUCAAUGAGAUAAAACACUGAAGUUCACUUUAUUUUUGACAUUCUUGGUAGUUGUGGAACUACUGCUAAAGGCAGACACUGUGUUUGGUGCUUUCCUGUUUAUUUGCACCUGCCGAUUUUUAUCCUAGAUUCUUUUUAUAUAAACUCUCUCCUCUUUGUUUGCACAGAGCAGGGACAUUUUGAUCUGAGAUUAAAGCAUGGCAGGAGCUACAAUAGUGUGGACAACUUUCAAGAGGCCACCAUAGUUUCUUUUGCAGCUACACUGCCUUUCUAAUAAGCUGUCCUCUGAACCACUUUCCUGAGCUCUUGAAUGUCUUCCAGCCUGUUCUUAUGGGUGUGAAACCUGAUCAGUGUUGGAGUCUCUGUACAAAGGGAUGUAGAGUACUGGUGAAAAGCCCAUAAGCUUCUGAUGUACUCUUUCUCAGCUGGGCUCUUUGACAGCAGGAGGAUCAGAAGUUUGAUUUUGAAUUGGCUUCACAGAAAGGAAAGAAGAACUUUAGCAUCACUUGAUUUUCAGAUUGAACAAGACCCUUUAAAUACCACAUACUGUAUUCUUGGGGAAUACGUAUAUCUUAGUGUACAUUUCAGCAAGCAGUUCUGCCUAAUCUUCAAGAUCUCCUCUAGAUCUGACUCUCCUCAAACUUGCCUUCCUUUGGAAUUGAAGAUGUCAGCCACCUGUUGAACCAGUUGAUCAGUGUCAACCAUAUAAUUUUUUUACCUGGAGGAGGCUAUUUCAAUGAAAAACUCAUUAUGUGCUUCCCCACAAAAAUAGAGUGCAGCAGUAGGAAUCAUGCCUGGUUUACUACAAUGGUUAAGCUUUUCCAGAUGCGAGAUCCAAGUUAUCAUUUCACCACACUUACAUGCUAGAGUGGCAAAUGUCUGGGUGUGGCAGUAGCCAUAGGAGCAGGCAGGCUCUUGGGGGAUGGUUGUGUAACACAGGGGUCAUGGCCCCUUGAAGCUUGAAGUUAUGGGGUCACAGGGGUUUAGGGUUCUUGUGUUUCAAAUAAGAGAGAGUCACAGUCUUAGGACUAGCCAAAGAGUAAUUAGUGCUUUUUCAGAUUACAGAGGGUAGGUUCACCACUCUGUUCAGCUAAAAGGGCUUUUGGGGUCAGUCAAAGUUCACUUAGAGCAAACCCAACCGUGUCUGAUUUUUAUGCAUGUCCCUAAUGGGCGCUUAAGGAAAGCAAAUAUCACAGCCAUUUUCCACCUCAGCCUUCUUGUCUUAAUUAUUUAUCCCUCUCUGGAGCUGUUGCUGGUGCAGAAGCUGGAAAUCUUGUGCAGGUGGAGACUUACCUAUUAAAAUGCAAGGUUCAUUACUCCUGUAUCCCAUGUGUUAGCUAACCAGAUGUUUCUCCAUCCCUCUUUUACCCCUGUUCCUUCGUGGUUUUAUGAAGGUGAAUGAAAUCAGGACAGAACAUAGCUGUGCUACAGGGAUUAUUGUGGAUGAAGGCAUAUUUAAUGUAUUGCAGAAAGCUGAAUAGUCAUGGAAAAAGAGCAAAAAUUAUACUUACAGACACUUAAUUUAGACUACAAUAAACGGGAAUGGAGGCUGGGAUGUUUUUCUGUAAAGUCAACUGCAAGAUAGCUGUUCAGGCUCCUUGCACAUCGGUGGGGAGAAAGACCGACUGAUUCAUGUGUCUUGCCCCUCUAUUUUUGGUGUUUGGUUGGUAUGUUUUGGUGUUUGGACAGGGAUGAACACUGUCCUUCAGUGUUAGGAAAGGAAACUGUCACUCCUUGUGCACAUGUACAAUAUUACUGCUCUGGAGUUCAAGUCACAGUUAAGGCCAUGGUUGAAAUCUAAAUAAGAACAAUAGCUGGUUACAAUUUGCAAUCUCAGCAAGGAAUCUGAAGACUGUCCAAGUGAGGAGACUGAAUGGGGAAUCUGGAGAUUGUCCAAGCAAGAAGACUCAAUGAUUAGCUCUGUCUAAAGCAGAUACAGCCAGACAGGCUGGGGGCAGUGGCCAUGGGUAAUGCCAUGAAAGCUUUGUUUUGAGGAAGGAAUGGCUUUCUCAGGUAUUCAGCCCAGCUCCAAAUCUCUUUAAAAAAAAAUCCAACCUGGAUCUGGGAGAGGGAGAAAGAAAGAAAGAAAGGCCUAAUUCUUAAAGAUCCCAUGAAAACAAUAAAUAGAGUUUAACAGUCAAUAGGCAGAUUAAACUGGCUGUGGAUCAAAACACAUCAGGAGUAAAGAUUUAUUGCAGAAAACUAGACAUGGAAUAAGCCCUGCUCUGUUGCUGGAGCUCUGACUAACUGGUUCUAGUGAGGAAAGGGAGGGGGAAAGAAAAUUACAGCCUUUAUAAAUAGGCAUCAGCAAAGCUGUUCCUGGCAUGCUUUCCUGCCCCAGUCCAUACCACCCAGUGGGGUAAAUAUCUCAUUCCAAUAAUACCACUGAUUAAAUGGCUGUGGGAUAAGGAAUUUAAUAAAUUCCACACAGCAUGUGAAUGGUAAUCAGGCCAGGAGCUUUAUGCACUUUGGCUUGUGACAUAUACCACUGGGAUAUAGGAUAAUUAAGGGAAUAUUCCCUCCUGUCUCCAGAUCUCUACUGACUGUAGGGCAUGCUGAGCCUUCUGUUUCAAGGGGUAUAAAUAGAGCAAAUGGGAUGAAAUUAGGUGGGAUACAUAGUUUGAAUACCAGUCAAAUCUACAGGGCAGGGGCACUGUCCUCUACAGCCUUUCACUUAAGGAGCUCUAGAUGUCCUGGUAAAUGACUUUAUUAAUCCUGCAGCCAAGGUGUGUAAUAUAUAUAUACUUGUUUGAUGGUUCAUUCUGACUCCUCAAUACAAGGCUAAAAGCCUUUUUAGAUCAUACAUGCUCUGUGUGCCUGGAGAUGAGAGUGAGAUUUUUUAAUCCCCUGCAUUGCUGUUAGUCUGUUAUAAGGUUUUUUUCAUCUGAGACAUUCAGUUCUGGGCUGGACUCUGUCUAGUAAGAAGGUACUUCUUCACAUUUCAAAUUCAUUGAACGUGUCACAUGAUGUGAAACCCAAACUUGCAUAUCCCAUAUUUCUGAUCAGAAUUCCCAGGCAGAAGCGUGACUCAUUCUGCAGCCAGUGCCUAUGGAAUGUGCCUGUGGGAGGCACGCUCCUGUAGGGAGCUCCUUGCAGUGUCUGGUUCUGAUGGAAGAAGCCUGUCCAGACUGCCAGCCCCAGUCUCCUGUGCACGCUGACUGACCCUCAUUGAGGAGUUUGGAAAAUAUAAAAUAUAAAAGAAUUGUUAACAUCCCUUUUGUCUGAGCAUAUGCCAGAAAACACAGGUCAAAUGCAGGGAUUUCAUCUUCUCCCCAGAGAAACUGCCUUCUCAGGCUGCUGUGAAUAAGCUGGGGCAUGCUAAACUUUUUGGUAUCUCCUUCCAGCGGACUCUAAAUUCUGAAACUGUGUCAUGAUGAAGAUAAUGCCCUGAAAGGCAAAGAUGUAGAAGAAUCCAAGUUGUUUUUUUUCUUUUAAGCUGUGUUCCUUUUGUAUUUUGGCAACAACUUUUAAAAGUUGUGAGUUGUUAGGUGUGUCUCAAGGCAGUUGUAUCUAUCUAUUAACCAGAACCCUGAUGUUUUUACAUCAACAAGCUUGCAAUACAGACUUGGUGCAUUUAAAUGGGUACAUCUAGAUGUGCAUAAAAUUGGAGGACUGUUUCUGUAAUAAUAAUAAUAUUAAUAAUGACAAUAAUAGUAAAAAUCUGUAGUUUGUGCAAGGCAUGUUGUGGGCUCUCAGAGGUCUCUUUUUUCAGAAGGCUCUCUCUUCCCCUACCACAUCUUUCCCUUCAGCUGCAUGAGUGGCUGCUACUUCAUUUAGCCUCUGGAGAAGGGGCUGACACGUACUUUGCCAGUGCAUUUCACAAGUCACAAGACAGGAGAUCAUGUAUCUUGGUUCUGUCCCUGGCUGUGAGAGAAGAAUGUGGCUUAUGGGUCUGAUAGGGGGUAAUCAAAGCUCAAUCAGCCUGAAAGACAUUACAGCUGACUAGUGAAGAUAUAGACUUACUGUGCUAUAGUCCUGCUUUCUGGCCAAGGUGACCUCUGGUAACCCCAGCGUUAGUGUUGCUCUGAAAUAUGGCAACAGCUUGAACUCAACUGUCUUCCAUAAUUGGGAUUUAUGGCCUUGGUCAGUAAUAAGGACAAAGAAAUGUGCAAUAUCAAUCACAGGAAGUUAUGAGUACGUGAACUAGAGUUAGCUCAGGGAACUGGCUCAGAGGUUACGCAGGUUUGGUGUGGGAGCAAUGUCCUUUUAUUCUUCCCACCUGUCCCUAAAACAAUCUUAGUCAUUACUGUCAUCGCUUCUUUAUGUUGUGUGUCUUUUCAGCCGUGCUAGAAAACGGGUAAGAUCAAAACAUGCUGAAUGUUUUGUAUUUGUAAUGCUCUUUUUUUUGCCAGUAUUUGGGGAUCAUCUUGCAAAGUAUGGUGGUUUUGAAUAGAUCUUUAAAAAACCAAGGUAAUCUGUUUAAAAAUUUGGGAAAAAACUCAGAAUUUGUUUUGGUUUUUGUUUUUAGUUACUAUCAUUAUCUUUUUCAUAAAAUGUGCUGUCCUCUGCACUUCCUCUGAGGAUGGUGUUUGCCAUUUUAUGAAAAUCUUCAUAUGACAGAAGAUUCUGUAAAAGUGAGAAUUUCUGAAACAGCCUUUACUCUUGAAUGGAACUCAUUAUCUCUGUUACCACUGCUUCCCAGUUAUUUUCAAUAGUUGAUAAAAAUCUCUUCUGUUUUCCAAUGAUAAACUAUAUUCAACCUCAGGAAACUGGUGCACAGCUUCUCAAAACCACUGGUAUGCUUCUCAAAACCUUUGGCUGUUUUAUAUUCACUCUAAUUUUAUUUUUUUUUGAGGUGUCUCUUGGUGUAUGGAAUGAUAAACACAGGGUCACUCUGUAGGUGUGGACAUUGGUAAGAUGUAGCCUCCAUGGUGACUAAUGGAUUUUUCUAAAAUUAUGUUAGAUUACUUCUAAAACACUAAUCUGAUACA